GUGAAUGUAGUUCAACUGGUCAGAGCAUCCGAGUGUGAAUCGGAAGGUUACGGGUUCGAUUCCCGUCAUUCACC
rnacentral:tRNA from 1 species